GUGGUAUAACACUUAGGGUGGGCGACUAACUUACAACAACAUAAUGUGCACCUUUAAAACAUGUGUAAGACGAGUUGUGGUUUAAUUGGUUCCCUGCCGUGCUUUGAGGUUUUUCUUCAGAUUUUAUAGCAUUGUUACUCUAUUCAAAACAUGCCUCCUGUUAUUUAAGCUGUAUUACUGGAAAUUCAGCACACAGCUGGGACAGCAUAAUUUUUCUUUAAAAGUUAGGAAUGUAAGGUGAGCUAGGUGACCAAAGUUUUGCCAAGGCAUGUCCUCAAAAUUUUCCAAAACCAAUUAGUAGUCAUUGACUUUUCAGUACAUCUCACUUAACCGUUUAUACAUCUCACUUUUCUUCCAGAAAAGGUGUUUUUAAACACCCAUUAUUAUUUGAGGGGGUGGGCCUGGGUCCGAAAGGAAUGGGCCCCACAUUUUUGAGUUCACCCCCCCCCCAACCAGAUAGCGUUAGGUACGUCCCUCUUCCUGUUAUCACCCACCGAAUUUUGGUUCUGACUGGGUAGAUAUGUUUAAUGCUUUCCUCAACCAAGCGUGUGAUCAAUUCAAUAAGUUAAUGAUUUCUGGUGACUUCAAUAUGGCACACAUUUCCUGGAAUAACACAUCAAACAGCAUCCCAACUCGAAAUAACAACAUCCUUGACCUUAUUAUUACCAGUGUACCUGAACAUGUUAACAUAACUGAUGUGGAAUCGCUAGACAACGCCGUCGUUUUUACAGACCAUUGUGUACUCCACUACGAGUUUAAUGCAUUUGUUGAAAUUCCAAAAACAAGAGUCAAAGAUUUGUUUACAACUACAAAAAAGCAACUUUGAAAGCACUAUCCAUUACGCAUAGUACGUGCACGGACUACGGAUGUUUCGUUCAUAUCUUCGGUUCAGUAAACGCUAUGUAGAUAAAAAAAAAAUACCACCAAUCGAUUCAGUGUAAAAAU